rnacentral:rRNA from 1 species
AGAUUGAACGCUGGCGGCAUGCCUAACACAUGCAAGUCGAACGGGAGUAGCAAUACUCUAGUGGCGGACGGGUGAGGAAUACGUAGGAAUUUGCCCUUAAGUGGGGGAUAACCCGGGGAAACCCGGAUUAAUACCGCAUGACCUCGAAAGAGCAAAGUGGGGGAUCGCAAGACCUCACGCUUUUGGAGAAGCCUACGUCGGAUUAGCUAGUUGGUGAGGUAAUGGCUCACCAAGGCGACGAUCCGUAACUGGUCUGAGAGGAUGAUCAGUCACACCGGAACUGAGACACGGUCCGGACUCCUACGGGAGCAGCAGUGGGGAAUAUUGGACAAUGGGCGCAAGCCUGAUCCAGCAAUGCCGCGUGUGUGAAGAAGGCCGUUCGGUUGUAAAGCGUAACUUUAAGGUUAGGGAAAGAAAAACGUCGACUACUAAACACAAGUGAGU